CCAACCGCGUCCAAUAUGAAACUUUCCAGCCCUAUACAAUUGAGGGUAAGAUCCACAGUAUGGUUCACCCUAUGAACUAAGUUUGUACACUCUUUCUCAUGACACCCGGUAAGCUCUUUCAUUCAAUACCAUUAGUUCACAGAUAUCCUUUUUUUAUUUACUUUUUAGCCUCAAAUAACACAUAUAUCAGCAUUCCAAGUGAUGCAAGAGUACGUGAAUGAAAUAAAUAUACGUUAUGAUAACUGAAACAU
rnacentral:lncRNA from 1 species